GCAUCCUCGCCUCCAGUCCUCCUGACGGCCUGUGGUUAGAUGCCACCGUGGCAGCUCAGAGUUCUGGAACCUGCCUCAGGGGUAGGACAGCCAGAAGCAAAUGCAAAGGUGAAGCCCAUUCUCUUUCUGCCACUGCACAUUUCCCCAUGUCCAGGCUCCUUAGGAGCUUGCCUCAUUCCUCCAGGGGCUUGGUGGCUGUGUGUGUUGGGAGGGUGUUGUGUUGUAAGUGCUGGAUGCGGUGAUGGAGUUGCCUGCCAAACCCUCCUGUCCCGGUUGCAAAAAGGCUUCCCAGGAUUCGGGGCUACAUCGGGGAAUUCCUGCAGUACCCUACGUGUCGUGAGUCGUGGUCCUCCUAGCUCAGCAUGGAAGUCCUUCGUCACGCUUGGGUUCUGCCUGCUGAAAUAGAUGCUUGUCCAGGCCCGAGACACGUCCUUCCUCUCCAUGUCACCAGGGCCCAGCUCAGCAGUGCAACUCAAGCAAGAACUGAGGAGGUCUGAAUUCCCAGGAAGAGGAAACUUGGAAUGAAUUGUCAGCCAACACUUGUACCGAUCGUGAAAAUGCCCAGCGAGUUUGUUGGAAAUGAAGAAACAGGCAGAACAAUGAUGUAAAAAUGUAAGUGUUUGGGAAGAUAAGAUACAGA